GGGAAAGGGCUCGAAAGACUCACUAAAGAGUUAGGCUCUAAGAUUAUCAUCCAAGUGGCCGAGGGGAAGAAACACCCGGACAAACCAGCACAGGCUGCAAAGCUUGCAUCCCAGGGUGGGGUUGCUGCGAGGAAGCAUCUACCACUCCUUCCCCACUUCAAGGAGUACAAGGCCAAUGGGCAUCAUAUUGACAAUUUCAUUGGCAAAGUUGCUAUCAAUUUUGAGAUGGAAACCCGUUCCGAUGCCGUGAAGUAUGCAUGCACUGACAUCCUCAAGACCGCAUUGAAGAAUAGGCGCCACCAUCUGAAGAAGAAGCAUUUUGACAAUGUACCGGCCAAUCUAGUGAGUGUCAAAUCUCCUGAUAAGAAUGUGACAGAUGCGGAGUGGCAAAGGCUGGUCAAGAUGUGGUCUACCCCAAGGCACAAGGAAACCUGUCAGUCAAACAAGGAUAACAGUUCCAAAGUUAAGUUCCAUCAGAAAACUAGUUCUCGCCCCUACAUUUCCCAUGUGCAUGCUUUGAAAGAGGCUCGUAAGUGUGAAGAGUUGACUGCAUUUGAUCUAUUCAAGGAGUGCCACAAUGGCAAGAAGACUGGUUUCUCUGAGCCAGUUAAGAAGGCAAUU
rnacentral:rRNA from 1 species